UGACAGCAGAGGGUCGCAUAUGAUUGGCGAUUGUGCGUAUAAGUGGAACCUCUGCCAAUUCAACGCCGCUGUUGAGAGGACCCUGGGGACGACUGGUCUUCGCCAGAUCAUCGCCUCGCAUGCCUCGUUCCCGCCCUUCCGCAUUCCUGACGCCAACUGCCUUUGUACCCACCAACGGCUGUCUACCGACCUACCCUAGUCGUGCAUUUGGGUCCGCCCACCAGUCCUGGUUAUGACACAGACAGCAUGAUGUGCGACUGCUCAGCACAUUCGCCUCACAGUUCUAAGAACCCCGCUUCAAAUCUGGCCUCGCCUGUGUGGAGAUUAAAGGCAACUAUUGAAGAAUUCAA